rnacentral:rRNA from 1 species
CCAAGGAGUCUAACAUGUGCGCGAGUCAUUGGGAUUAAAUUUAAGCCUAAAGGCGCAAUGAAAGUGAAGGUUUGCCUUAGCGUAGACCGAGGGAGGAUGGUUCGCGUCACGAUGCGAGCCCGCACUCCCGGGGCGUCUCGUGCUCAUUGCGAGCAGAGGCGCACCUAGAGCGUACACGUUGGGACCCGAAAGAUGGUGAACUAUGCCUGGUCAGGACGAAGUCAGGGGAAACCCUGAUGGAGGUCCGUAGCGAUUCUGACGUGCAAAUCGAUCGUCGGAACUGGGUAUAGGGGCGAAAGACUAAUCGAACCAUC